GUAGGGAAUAUUGGGCAAUGGAUGCAAGUCUGACCCAGCCAUGCCGCGUGGAGGAAGAAGGUCCUCUGGAUUGUAAACUCCUUUUUUGGGGGAAGAAUAGUUCUCUUGCGAGGGAAUGUGACGGUACCCUAAGAAUAAGCCACGGCUAACUACGUGCCAGCAGCCGCGGUAAUACGUAGGUGGCAAGCGUUGUCCGGAUUUAUUGGGUUUAAAGGGUGCGUAGGUGGUUUGAUAAGUCAGUGGUGAAAGCUGGUUGCUCAACAAUCAAGUUGCCAUUGAUACUGUCGGACUUGAGAGAAGUGGAGGUUCAUGGAAUGGAUGGUGUAGCGGUGAAAUGCAUAGAUAUCAUCCAGAACGUCGAUUGCGAAGGCAGUGGGCUGUACUUUAUCUGACACUGAGGCACGAAAGUGUGGGGAUCAAACAGGAUUAGAAACCCGUGUAGUCC
rnacentral:rRNA from 1 species